rfam:Salmo salar isolate Sally breed double haploid chromosome ssa17, whole genome shotgun sequence.
UUCAUUCACUACUGUAAGUCGCUCUGGAUAAGAGCGUCUGCUAAAUUACGUAAA